rnacentral:rRNA from 1 species
GACAGAGGGUGCAAACGUUGUUCGGAAUUACUGGGCGUAAAGCGCGUGUAGGCGGCAGCGUGUGUCGGGCGUGAAAUCCCACGGCUCAACCGUGGAAGUGCACCCGAAACUGCGCAGCUAGAGUCCUGGAGAGGAAGGUGGAAUACUUGGUGUAGAGGUGAAAUUCGUAGAUAUCAAGUGGAACACCAAAGGCAAAGGCAUCCCUCUAGUGUUAACUGACGCUGAGGUACGGAAGCAUAGGGAUCAAACAGG